AACGCACAUUGCGCCCUUUGGUAUUCCGAGGGGCAUGCCUGUUCGAGCGUCAUUACACCACUCAAGCCUGGCUUGGUAUUGGGCCCCGGGGGCGACCCGGACCCGAAUGUUACCCGGCUGGACGACCCAGAUCUCAGCGUUGUGGCAACAAAUUCGCUGGCGAGAAGGGGCGGCCGCGCCGUUAAACUUACUCAAGGUUGACCUCGGAUCAGGUAGGGAUUCCCGCUGGACUUAA
rnacentral:misc_RNA from 1 species